AGGACUCGCCAAGUUGGAGAAACAAUUAUGCGUCUCAAAUAUAAAUCAGCUGUUAGAGCAGUUCCGUUGAGGGUGUUCAACUAAUUAGUAACUAUUUAGCAAUAUUCGUAACAAGAGUUUCCGCGUCAUGCUCGCGUAUCAUACGUGUUAAACUCUUGACCGUCUUCUCGGCGCCACAUUACAUAGGGUUCCGGAUAGCCUGUGGCUCGACAAACCAUCGUAACGUUACUGCCUUCGCGCACUACCAUAUCCGUUGAUGUCAUGUUAUCGAUUAUCGUCGGUGGGACUGUUUAGAAAAGGUAGCCCUUUCUAGAACGCAUGGGGUCGGUGUUUACCUGACACAUGUACCAGCCUCGGUCAACCUCCUGGACGUUCUUAAUGUGUAGGUACCACGAGCGAUGGUCAUUAUAGGAAAGACUUAUACGAAGAUUCUGCGUUAUUAUGUUGUGAUGGAUGCUAAGUAUUGUUUGUGUGUCAACGCGAACCCAUGCCACCUAAGAACCAUUUGUAUUAAAUUAACAAAUUUAUCAGUAUUACUUACAAAGCGAUCCCGAUGUUCCGUUAAUAAAAUUUAAAUUUUG